AUCUGUUAGGGAGUGAAUCUCUGCUUCCUACUGACCUUGGACGCUUGAGCACAGCUCCCGAGCUUUUCAGGGUUCUAACGGAGAAAACGUUGGCUAGAGAGUAACGUCAAGACGAAACCCAGCCCGAGAAGCAAAACCGAGGCUGUCGUCCGAGAGGCUGGAGUCUGCCCGACCAGAAGCUUUGGACAUGCAGCAAGGUUGAGGAGGUGAAACGACUUUCUCAGGUCACGCCCAGCUGGAUCACAGGGGCCAGGAGCAAAGUGGAGGGACAAUGACAUCACAGCAUAAUCGUGGCUCAUCCUUCUGAGGCGGAGGCGGGGAGUCACGGUGUCCUUCUAGAGCAAGAUGGCAGAAUCUCGAUCUAAAAGUUUGCUGAGUCCGAGGCUGAGGCCAGAGCAAGAUGUCCUUCUAGAGCAAGAUGUCCUUCUAGAGCAAGAUGGCUGUACCUUUCAUGAGCUUUGGAUGGACACGCUAGGGCCAGCGCCAUGCUGUGGUAACACGAGGCUCUUCUAGUUUAGAUGUGAAAUUGGCUCACAUGUUGAAGUCCUGGUCCCCAGCUCUAGGUCCAGGCACUGAGGGAGGAUGACAUUACCGGGCUCUGGCCAAAUGGGUUUAGACAUUCAUAGAGUCACAGCAGGUGACAGCCCUAGCUCCAAGGUUUGACUGAAUACGGACUGCAGACCCCAGGUAUUUUCACACGGGCCCUGCAGCUAGCUCCAUGCCGAUCUUCACACCCGUUCCAGACAAUGUGUUAUCAGCAAAGAUGCCCAAAGACCCAGACUUGUGCUGGUGCAAGUGUUGGACUGCUGGUCUCUUACUUGGUUUCUGUUGCUAUAACAGUCUGAGAGCCUGGGGAAUGUAUGAAGCAUAAAGGUUUGUCCCCUCGUGAUUCUAGAGGCUGGGAGUCCAAGAUGGAAAGGCCUUGCUGCUGAGAACUCCAGAUUCUUAAGGAAGCCCAGAGUGCCACGAGGUGAGAGUGGCAUACACUCUAGAGGUAAAGCCACCAUUGUGUGGCUGGCCAGAGGUCCUGUGCAUGGCCGCAAGACCCCGUCACGCUCUCCACAGUCCGCCCCGCUGGUCCAGUCUGUCAUGUCUGUGCAGCAUUGGGAGCUGGAGUUGGGGAGGAAGAUAUUCCCCGUUGAAUUGUUGGCUCGUUCAUUCAUCCUUUCAACAUAACACACACCAGUUACCCACUGUUCACAGGUUGUUGAAUAUCAGUCACUUAUGUUGACUCAGUUUCCCUGUGCAUUGUCACACGUAGGGGCUUGUUUUUUCAGGGGUUUCUUUUCCUCUGUUGUUUUUUCAGGAGUCUUUCUCUUGUAGCCCUGGCUGUCCUGGAUUCUCUUUGUAGAGCAGGCUGGCCUCGAACUCACAGCAAUCCACCUGCCUCUGCCUCUGCCUCCUGAGUGUUAGGAUUGGAGGCAUGAGCUACGAUGCCCAGUUUAGGGGCUUGUUUUUUAACCCUUCACUUUCUUAGUUGUAAGUCUUGUUUCUAGAUCACUCCAGUGAAACUAAAACUUUUGGGUAGAGGGAGGGCAGUGAAGAGGGGGAGGAAAAAGGUGAAAUGAUUUUAAAACACAACCGCUCAGGAGAUAACCAUUGGUCCAGAAAUGACGUCCUCAAUCCUAAUCACUCUUCCUAGGUCCCACCUCCAGAUGCCAUUAACCUCUGACCUUGGGGAUAAAGUUUUCCACAGAUUCAGGUACAAAGCACAGUGCUUGGGGAAUGGGUCCCGUUCCACUCUGAUAAACCACCAGUGUGCUCACAUUCCACUUCCAACCUCAGCCCCUGCCAAGGAGGACCAGAGGUUAAAGCGCUUAGUGAUUAAGUUAGAGAGGUCGUGUUGACGCUUUAACAACCUCCUGUGCAUGGUUCUUUCUGCUUUAUUGAGAUGCAAACACGUGCAUUGUUGUAGCCCCUGCCGCCCAUAGAGAUGGUCCAAGGUCUGGCCUUGUCAGAAGACCCGGGUGUGUGUGUGAGAGAGAGAGAGAGGCUUCCUCAUCCCUUUCCACUUUACUCUUUGGAACAGGGUCUCUCACUAAACAGUUGCCAAUUUGACUAGGCCAGCAAGCCAGCAAGGCUCUGGCGUCCUUCGGUCUCUGUCCCGCCCUCCAGCACUGGGAUUCUAGGCACACACUACCGUGUGGCUACAGUAGUGUGUGCCUUUUCUGUGGGUGCUGGGGAUUGAACUCAGGUUUUCUGGUACUCACAGGGCAAACACUUCACUCACUGAACUGUGCCACUUUUUCACCCCUACCACGUGGCUCUGGGUGUAGGCAGGAUGCUUUCCGGAGCGUUUGCAGGACAGGCACAAGCCCUCAGGCUCCUGCCGGCUGCAAAGGCACGGUGGUUCUCAGACCUCUCUGCCUGGGGAACCUGUCACUUUGAAAGACUCCAGAGAGCUUUUUCAGUUAAGUGUUCUGGUCCUGAGCUACCCUUACACACAGGAACUUUUGUUAUGUAGACUGUUUCCAGACUUUAUUAGACACUUGGGAAGCCAUUUUAAAUAUUUAUUGAUCCUAAGAGAACCACAAGCUCCCUGCGUGUUUAUUCAAAUAAGUCCCCAAAGUCUCAGGAAAGAGAGGGUCACUGUCCUUAGCGUUGACAAACAAAUUUUCUUUGUUUCAUUUGAUUCUUUUCUUCUUCUUUUCUGUCAUUAUGGAACCUAGGCUGGCUGUGCCCAGCCUGCCUUAGCAUCCCCUGUACUGCAAUCAUAGGUGUGCACAGCACCACUGGACUCUGCACAUCUGUUUAAGCCUCGGCUUCACAGGAGACAUCUGGAUUCUCACAGCUGCUCCUGUGCUCUGUCUGCCGCUGGAGAACUCCACACAACACCCAUGAGCUCAUGAGAGGAGAAAGAAAUGACCCCUUGGCUUGGGAAGAGUGUUAGAGGCAGAAUCUCACAGCAUCUACCUGAUGGAACAUCUAGGUACUAUUAUCAUGCUGCUCUUCAUAUGAGAAAAUCAAUGCCUAGACACUUCAGAGAUGUGCCCUUACCUUCUGGAUACACCUGCAACUGCUGUGGAUGAGGGCAGCCCAAGUCUGUGAGACCUUGAAACCUCAACCUCCAGAACCAUGAGCACAAUUAACCCUUGACUCAUGAAUUAGCCAGGCUCUGAAAAUAAGCUAUAGCAACAAAUGAAUGAAGAUAUCAGCCAAAAAUUCCACCAGCACAAGUCUGGGUUAAAAAAAAAAAAACACAGAAGAGUGUGGAUUUUUCCCCUUUGAAGCCAUUGUAAAGAGAAAGAACAAGGCUCUAGAUGCAGAGAGCCAAGGCUCAUCCUACAGCAGGCUAGCUCUUCCUGUGUAGCAUCUUUUGAACUGUUUUCUCACCUGUGGACACCUGUUUACAAGGAGUGUUUAGGAGCCUGUACUUGCCAAGCGGGUAUCCUGAGCAUCUGUCCCACGAAACUGACCAGAGGGGCUCAUGGCUGCCAAGCGGAGAAUGUCCCGUGUGUUCCUCUGAGCAGGGGCUCUUUCAGGCUUGUUUGAUGGUGUCUCGGGGAAGUUGGUCUGUUUCAACUUGGCCGGCUCUUCCAGCUUCAGUAGACACUGAUGUGUAGACAAAGGACUGUGGGAUGGUAAAAGCGGAUGCACCAUAAACAAAUUGCACACAUUGAAUCAUCUCCCAGCCCAGGGAAAGUAUUUCUAAAGACUGUAGGUGGACGUAUACACAGCCCAGGCGAGGAACGCUUUCUCAGCUUGCAUGAGGCCCUGGGUUCCAUCCCCAGCAUUGGAGGAGGAGACAGAGGAGAGGCGGAGGCUUCACAUACUUCGGGAAGGAAACAAGCUUACGCAGAGCUCAGCCUUGGACUCGUAGCUCAGAGGGAGAGAGCCGCCUACACCCACCAGGUCAAGGCGGAAUUGUUUAACUUGGAAUUGUAUACCAAGCUUUAUGAAUGAGGAGAGUCCACAAGGAGGAGGGUCCAGAUCAGCUGCUCUCAACCUGUGGGUCGUGACCUCUUUGGGUGUUGCUAGCAGACAUUUACAUUACAAUUUAUAACAGUAGCAGGAUUACAGUUAUGAAGUAGCAGCAAAGUAACUUAAUGGUUGGGGGAUCUCCACAAGAGGAGUAGUAGGAAGGCUGAGAAGCACGGCUCUAGACUCUGAGACUUCUCUUGAAAGACUGGGCACUCUGAUCACUCAAGACCCACAGUCUUAGUAACAAAUGCGUGAGAGGAAACAGCUGGAAAAGGAACUGAGCUGUCACUAUCCCAGGAACAGGAAGCACAGUGGGUGUGGGGCCGGGGGAAGGCUUAUUCACACUGUUGCUUCCACUGCAAAAAAAAAAAAAAUUAUCGGUUUUAGUGAUAUGGGUCUAUGCCUGUGAAUGUGUAUAGGUAUAUGCAUGUAUGUAAAGGUUACCGCAGAGACUAAAGGCCUCAGGCCUCAUGGAGCCGGGGAUAUAGGUGGUUGUGGGCAGCCUGACCUGGUGGGGGCCAGACGCUACUCCUCCUCAAAAGCAGUAUAUGCUCUUAGGCACUGAGCCAUCUCUCCAAUCUUGUUUCCAUUGUUAAAGAAAAAAAUUAAAUACAACAUAACCCAUCUGUA